rnacentral:rRNA from 1 species
UGGGGAAUAUUGGACAAUGGGGGCAACCCUGAUCCAGCAAUGCCGCGUGAGUGAUGAAGGCCUUCGGGUUGUAAAGCUCUUUUGCCAGGGACGAUGAUGACGGUACCUGGAGAAUAAGCCCCGGCUAACUUCGUGCCAGCAGCCGCGGUAAUACGAAGGGGGCAAGCGUUGUUCGGAAUUACUGGGCGUAAAGGGCGCGUAGGCGGCCGAUCAAGUCAGGCGUGAAAUUCCCGGGCUCAACCUGGGGGCUGCGCUUGAUACUGAUUGGCUUGAAUGCGGGAGAGGAUAGUGGAAUUCCCAGUGUAGAGGUGAAAUUCGUAGAUAUUGGGAAGAACACCGGUGGCGAAGGCGGCUAUCUGGCCCGUAAUUGACGCUGAGGCGCGAAAGCGUGGGGAGCAAACA